rnacentral:rRNA from 1 species
GGAAUAUUGCGCAAUGGACGAAAGUCUGACGCAGCAACGCCGCGUGGGUGAUGAAGGCUUUCGGGUCGUAAAGCCCUGUCAGCGGGGAAGAAAAGGUAGGAUUCGAAUAGGGUCUUACCCUGACGGUACCCGCGGAGGAAGCACCGGCUAACUCCGUGCCAGCAGCCGCGGUAAAACGGAGGGUGCAGGCGUUGUUCGGAAUUACUGGGCGUAAAGCGCGUGCAGGUGGCGCUCUAAGUUCUGUGUGAAAUCCCCCGGCCUAACCGGGGAACUGCAUGGAAUACUGGAGUGCUUGAGUACGGGAGAAGAGGGCGGAAUUCCCAGUGUAGAGGUGAAAUUCGUAGAUAUUGGGAGGAACACCGGCGGCGAAAGCGGCUCUCUAGACCGAUACUGACACUCAUACGCGAGAGCAUGGGUAGCAAAC